GACGAACGCUGGCGGCGUGCCUAAUACAUGCAAGUAGAACGCUGAAGGAGGAGCUUACUUCUCCGGAUGAGUUGCGAACGGGUGAGUAACGCGUAGGUAACCUGCCUGGUAGCGGGGGAUAACUAUUGGAAACGAUAGCUAAUACCGCAUAACAGUAGAUAUUGCAUGAUAUCUGCUUGAAAGGUGCAAUUGCAUCACUACCAGAUGGACCUGCGUUGUAUUAGCUAGUUGGUGAGGUAACGGCUCACCAAGGCGACGAUACAUAGCCGACCUGAGAGGGUGAUCGGCCACACUGGGACUGAGACACGGCCCAGACUCCUACGGGAGGCAGCAGUAGGGAAUCUUCGGCAAUGGACGGAAGUCUGACCGAGCAACGCCGCGUGAGUGAAGAAGGUUUUCGGAUCGUAAAGCUCUGUUGUAAGAGAAGAACGAGUGUGAGAGUGGAAAGUUCACACUGUGACGGUAUCUUACCAGAAAGGGACGGCUCACUACGUGCCAGCAGCCGCGGUAAUACGUAGGUCCCGAGCGUUGUCCGGAUUUAUUGGGCGUAAAGCGAGCGCAGGCGGUUAGAUAAGUCUGAAGUUAAAGGCUGUGGCUUAACCAUAGUACGCUUUGGAAACUGUUUUAACUUGAGUGCAAGAGGGGAGAGUGGAAUUCCAUGUGUAGCGGUGAAAUGCGUAAUAUAUGGAGGAACACCGGUGGCGAAGCGGCUCUCUGGCUUGUAACUGACGCUUGAGGCUCGAAAGCGUGUGGAUCAAACAUG
rnacentral:rRNA from 1 species